rnacentral:rRNA from 1 species
AAACGACUCUCGGCAACGGAUAUCUCGGCUCACGCAUCGAUGAAGAACGUAGCAAAAUGCGAUACUUGGUGUGAAUUGCAGAAUCCCGUGAACCAUCGAGUUUUUGAACGCAAGUUGCGCCCGAAGCCACUCGGCCGAGGGCACGUCUGCCUGGGCGUCACGC